rnacentral:rRNA from 1 species
UACGAAGGGGGCUAGCGUUGUUCGGAAUUACUGGGCGUAAAGGGCGCGUAGGCGGUUUGACCAGUCAGGUGUGAAAUUCCCGGGCUUAACCUGGGGCUGCACUUGAUACUGUCAGGCUUGAAUUCGGGAGAGGAUAGUGGAAUUCCCAGUGUAGAGGUGAAAUUCGUAGAUAUUGGGAAGAACACCAGUGGCGAAGGCGGCUCACUGGCCCGGUACUGACGCUGAGGCGCGAAAGCGUGGGGAGCAAACAGGG